rnacentral:misc_RNA from 1 species
UUCUGGAUAUCCUCAGGAGG